AAAGGUUUUUCCUCCAAGGUUUUCUUGGAAUUGGAGCUGUUUGGGAAGGGAAUUCCUCACUGAACUCUCCAAAGGUUCUUCCUCCAAGGUUUUCUUGGAAUUGGAGCUUUUUGGGAAGGAAAUUCCUCACUCAACUCCCCAAAAAGGAUCUUUAUCCAAGGUUUUCUUGGAAUUGGAGCUUUUUGGACUCCCAAAAGGAUCUUUUUCCAAGGUUUUCUUGGAAUUGGAGCUGUUUGGGAAGGGAAAAGGGAGCAAAAUCCAGGGG